UACACACCGCCCGUCAAGCCAUGGAAGCUGGGAGUACCCGAAACCGCUGUGCCAACCCGCAAGGGAGGCAGGCGUCUAAGGUAAGACCAGUGACUGGGGCU
rnacentral:rRNA from 1 species